CCUGGCAUGUACCUGCCAGUUCAUUAGAUCGGCAUGCGUCAGGGGCCAACCCUGGGGUGUGAAGCCCGAUUAACAAUGUCUCGCUCUUAUGAGGGUGUUAUCCGGUGACGGAGAACGCUUUACGUCCGAAUUGCACGGACGUAACGAG
rfam:Pseudomonas sp. 63_8 DS1215_scaffold_235, whole genome shotgun sequence.